rnacentral:rRNA from 1 species
CCUACGGGUGGCAGCAGUAGGGAAUCUUCCACAAUGGACGAAAGUCUGAUGGAGCAACGCCGCGUGCGUGAAGAAGGGUUUCGGCUCGUAAAGCUCUGUUGGUAGUGAAGAAAGAUAGGGGUAGUAACUGUCCCCUAUUUGACGGUAAUUACUUAGAAAGUCACGGCUAACUACGUGCCAGCAGCAGCGGUAAUACGUAGGUGGCAAGCGUUGUCCGGUUUUAUUGGGCGUAAAGCGAGUGAAGGCGGUUCAAUAAGCCUGAUGUGAAAGCCUUGGGCUCAACCGGAGAAUUGCAUCAGAAACUGUUGGACUUGAGUGCGGAAGAGGAGAGUGGAACGCGAUGUGUAGCGGUGGAAUGCGUAGAUAUAUGGAAGAACACCAGUGGCGAAGGCGGCUCUCUGGUCUGCAACUGACGCUGAGGCUCGAAAGCAUGGGUAGCGAACAGGAUUAGAUACCCGAGUAGUC